CCCAUUUCUUGUGCUGCUUCGUCCUUACUCCAGCGUCAUGAGGCAGGAGCAGACUUACCUUCCUGGGGAGGAAGUGGAAACACAGAAACCUUGAAUGCAGGACUCAAGCCUGGAUGAAAAGCCUGGCCCCUCCACUCUGCUGCUAGAUGCAUGGGAUGCCUUUCCUCAGGACCUGCUGUGAGCUCUGGGCAGCACAGGACAGCCUCUUCCCAGGGGGAGACCCAUGAGGAACAUCUGGGGUCCACAUGCUGCCGGCUUCCAGGAGGGAUCCGAGUGCAAUAGCAGGUCCUUCCUGGGGAAAGCAGCCUGAAGAGACUUCCUCUUCACUGAGACUGGACUGGACGGGGAAGAGGAUCUGCAGGCCUGGAGGGAACCUGGUCCCAGCAGGAAGCGCAGCGUGCAGAGGCAGCACGGCAGGGCCCAGGUAAAGCACACAAGAGCCACAGUGGCGGGAGGCCGGGACACAGGGCCA
rnacentral:lncRNA from 1 species